AUGGAGUGGAGCUGGAUGAUCCUCUUGCUGGUGGCAGCAGGUACAGGUGUCCAUUCACAGGUCCAGCUGCAGCAGUCUGGGGCUGAGCUGGGGAAGCCUGGGUCCUUAGUGAAGUUGUCCUGCAAGGCUUCAGGCUACACCUUCACCAGCAAAUAUAUUUCCUGGAUGAGGCAGAGUCCUGGACAGGGCCUGGAGUGGAUUGGAUGGAUUUAUCCUGGAUACGGUGUUACUAACUACAAUCAGAAGUUCAAGGCCAAGGCCAAACUGACUACAGAUACAUCCUCCAGCACAGCCUACAUUGAGCUCAGCAGCCUGACAUCUGAGGACUCUGCGGUCUAUUACUGUGCAAGACACACAGUGCUGCAACCACAUCCUGAGUGUGUCAGAAACCCUGCAGGAGCAGGAAGCAGGGCUGAGACUGAGAUGACAGAGAAGAUGCACCUGGAGACUUCCUCAGAAAUACUCAUCUGA